UACGUAGGGUGCGGGCGUUAAUCGGAAUUACUGGGCGUAAAGCGUGCGCAGGCGGCCUCUUAAGUCAGAUGUGAAAUCCCCGGGCUUAACCUGGAACUGCGUUUGAAACUGGGAGGCUAGAGUGUGGAAGAGGGGGGUGGAAUUCCAGGUGUAGCAGUGAAAUGCGUAGAGAUCUGGAGGAACACCGAUGGCGAAGGCAGCCCCCUGGGCUAACACUGACGCUCAUGCACGAAAGCGUGGGAGCAACAGG
rnacentral:rRNA from 1 species